rnacentral:rRNA from 1 species
UACGUAGGGGGCAAGCGUUGUCCGGAUUCAUUGGGCGUAAAGAGCGUGUAGGCGGCUAGGUAGGUCGUUGUGAAAACUGGAGGCUCAACCUCAGACGUCGACUGAAACCAUCUGAGCUAGAGUCCGGGAAGAGGAGAGUGGAAUUCCUGGUGUAGCGGUGAAAUGCGCAGAUAUCAGGAAGAACACCCGUGGCGAAAGCGGCUCUCUGGAACGGUACUGACGCUGAGACGCGAAAGCGUGGGAAGCAAACAGG